AUGGAAGAACAACUGUCUAGUAUGCAACAAGAUGUCAUUCAGGAAUUUGUGGCGCUUUAUCAAAGAAUAGGGCCUUAUCUACCGAUCGAGCCCUACUUGGUCGAUGAAGCGCUUCGUUCCUAUCUGGACCAUAUUCACGCAACUGGUUCUUUCAUUGUUCUCCAAGCGUCUUAUCAAGAUUUGUGGGAGAAUGAGGGAGGAUCUGUUUUCUUUAGAGAUGCUAUUUCCCACAACCGGGAUCUCCUUGAGGCGGAAAGCUCCACAAGGAGGUGCUUGGAAGUGGAACAGAGGAUUCGAUGGGAAGAAAUCCCCAAGAGCAAGGAAAGUCUCGAAAGAGCUGAGCACGAUCAUGCUCUUGACCUGUUUAAGUUAGAGGAUCUUAGAAGGGAAUUAGAAAAAAGAGUGGGGUAG
rnacentral:rRNA from 1 species